rnacentral:rRNA from 1 species
ACGGAAGGCAGCAGUGAGGAAUAUUGGUCAAUGGGCGCAAGCCUGAACCAGCCAAGUAGCGUGCAGGAUGACGGCCCUAUGGGUUGUAAACUGCUUUUGUCGGGGAAUAAAGUGACCCACGCGUGGGUUAUUGCAGGUACCCGGUGAAUAAGGACCGGCUAAUUCCGUGCCAGCAGCCGCGGUAAUACGGAAGGUCCGAGCGUUAUCCGGAUUUAUUGGGUUUAAAGGGAGCGUAGGUGGAAGUGUAAGUCAGCCGUCAAAUUGCGCAGCUCAACUGCGUCCAGCGGUUGAAACUGCACUUCUUGAGUGCACAAGAGGAAGGUGGAAUUCGUGGUGUAGCGGUGAAAUGCUUAGAUAUGACGAAGAACUCCGAUUGGGAAGCCAGCUUACUGUAGCGCCACUGACGCUGAUGCUCGAAAGCGUGGGUAUCGAACAGGAUUAGAUACCCUGGUA